UUCACCUAGGGUUUGCUUUUCACCCUGUGGGUUCACUCAGUAGGAAAUAUGCCACAAAUUCACCUAGGGUUUGCUUUUCACCCUGUGGGUUCACUCAGUAGGACCCGGGCGCAGAAUUUUGCUGCCUUUUGGACAAAUUCUGGCGCCAACGGCAGAACCCGAGGAGAAUCUGGGCGGAUUUGACAGUUUUUUUAAUUUUUAAAAGUUUUUUUUUGACGUUUUUGGUCAAUUCGACCCUCCAACCCUAAAUUUGACCACUAAAAAGGCAAAAAAGGUAAAGCCAAAAGAGAUAGGUUUCUGUUGAUUUUUUUAAAAAAAAAAAAUUCUUUGCAUUUGUUUUACAAAAUUUAAUGAAUUCUCUAGUUUUACUUUUAUUUUAUUUUUUCAUUUUGGUUUGUGGCUUUGUAUGUUGUUUAAUGUUUAUAGAUUCAACAUUCAUAGAGUGGCAAGUGCUUGUAGCACUGGGAACUCCCGGUUCAAAACAGACCUAGGCUCUCCACCAUGGAAAUAUGUGGAAAUGGUUCAACAACUCCCAGGUGGAGGAGGUUUCAUUUGGAUUUGCAGCCAUUACAAAGAGGAAUAUAAAAGCUCUUAUAGUAGAGUGAAAGCACAUUUGUGCUUUAUCCUGCAAAAAGGCAUCAAGUUUUGUCCAGGCAGGGCAAAAUUUCCAGGGCAGCCUGCACCUAAAACCUUGCUUGCAAACUCUAUUGUACUAAAAUAUAUUGAAUAGUGUUGGUGUUGGAAAUAAGCCACACCCGGACCGACGAUGGAGUGGUCCAAGAGGGGCCAGUAGCUCAGUGAUAGAGCACUCCAGCAGCGUAUGGAAGGUCCUAAGUUCGAGUCCUAGCUGGUCCAUGUCUCAACAAAGAGCAAAGACAAGCAGAUGAAGCAGCUGGGACUGCAAUUACUCAUACAUUGGAAAGUUUUAGAAGUAAAAAGGCAAAAAAGGCCUCUAUGGCUUCAACUUCCAAUGAACAAUCCAUAGAGGGCAAUCCAUUCUUGCAUCUUCUUGAACAACUGGUGACAAAUAAAAGAGCAAAGGGGCCCUUGGAAAUGUCAUUUCACAAUGAGGCUAGAGUCAUUGCCGACCAAGACAUGGCUAGAUGUAUCUAUGUAAAUGGAUUGGCAUUUAAUGUUGUUCGCUCAUCAUAUUGGCAAAAAAUGGUGAGAUUAAUUAAUGAGGCUCCAAGGGGGGUUCAAGGGCCUAGGUUAUGAGAAGGUGCGCACCACUUUAUUGGACAAAGUGGUGAAACAUGUAGAGGAUUCCUUGAAGCCCAUGAGGGAUUCAUGGAUCGAAACAAGUGAGUCCAUAGUAUCAUAUGGAUGGAAAGAUGCAAAAAAUCGCCCUUUGGUCAAUGUUCUUGUAGUGUCGACGAGAGGUGCAAUGUUUUUGAGAGCAAUGGAUUGUGAAGGGCAAGUGAAGGACAAUCCAUUCAUUGCAAACAUUCUUUUCCAAGCCAUUGAGCAAGUUGGCCCUCAAAAUGUUGUUCAGGUGAUAAUAGACAAUGCAAAAAAUUGUAGGGCUGCCGAGUUAUUAGUUGAGGAGCACUAUAAACACAUUUUUUGGACACCUUGUGCUGUCCACUCACUCAACCUAAUGCUGCAAAAAAAUGGCAUUAAAGUUGAGUGGAUCAAACAAAUGUAUGGUGAUGCCCAAGAGAUCCAAAUGUUCAUCACGAACCACCAUAUGUCACAAGUAUUUAGACCAUGGUUGUAAAACUCGGACUCGGCAAUGACUUGGCAAGCACAAAAUAUUUAAAAAACUCGGGACUCGCAAAAAAUCGGCAAUAACUCAGCAACUUUAUCGAACAUUUGAAAGUAUAUUUUUUUAAAUAUUCUUCAAAAGCACACAUUUAUAUAAAUUUAAUGUCAUUAAAUUUAUUUUUUAAUUAUAUUAGAAUAAACAUAUAUUAAUAGAAAACUAUUUAAGUCAGAAUAGUAUUAAUUUAACAUCAUAGUAUUGAAAAUUCAUGUCUCAUAGUAUUAAUUUUACAUUUAAAUACGCUGUUUUUUAAUGUCUGUGAGUCUUUCUGCGAGUGACUCGGCUGAGCAAAUGACCCGCGAGUCCUGCAAGUACUCGCAAAGUUUUUCAACUAUGAUUUAGACAAUUCUCGAGAUUGGAGCUCUUGAAGGUUGUUGAGACCCGUUUUGCCUCCAACACUAUUGUUUUGAGACGUCUUGUGAAGGUUAAAGAGGCAUUGUCAAGAAUGGUAACAAUGCUAAUUGAAGCAUAUGGAGGCAAUCUAGUGGUACAAGGGCAGCUGCCAUUAAGGCAAUGAUACUAGAUGACUCUUGGUGGGAUUGUGUUGAGUACCUCUUGAGAUUUACUGAGCCCAUAUUGAGCAUGUUCCAAUACACUAACAUGGAUAGGCCUUGCUUGGGUGAGGUAUAUGAUGGCAUUGACUCCAUGAUUGAGGAUAUAAAAAAAAUCAUAAAUGAGAAAGAGCAAGAUCCUGAAAAAACAUUCUUCAAGGAAUUAUAGAAAAUCAUGGUGGAGAGAUGGAACAAAAUGGCUACACUUUUGCAUAUCCUUGCCUUUGCAUUGAUCCCAAAGUACUAUAGUCGGGAGGUCCUUAAUAAGAGUAGCAAUAGAGUUGCCCCAUAUAGAGAUCAUAAAGUUGCUAUUGGAUACAAGGCAACCCUUUGUAGAUUGUUUCCAAAUUCAUUACAGGCUGUGGUGAGGGCUGAAGUCAUCAGUUUCACAAGCAUGGAUGAUUGUGGUAUUGAGGUUGUUGAAGACAAGACAAAUGUUGAUGCUCAUAAAUGGUGGCACUUCCAUGGAGAAAUAUACCAGCACCUACAACCCAUCGCCAUCAAAAUUUUGUCACAAGUUGCUAGUUCAUCAUCAUCCGAGAGGAUUUGGAGCACAUAAUCCUUCAUCUACUCAAUAAAACGCAAUAGACUACAUUCCAAGAAGACAAAAGACUUGCUCUAUGUGCAUUCAAACUUGAGGCUCCUAACACACAAAGAUAAUACCUACAAACAAGGGGAGGCAAAACAUUGGGAUGUUGAACCAGAUCAUGCAGAGUUGGAUGAUUCAAUUGCCUGCCUUAAUGCACUUAGAGUUGAUGAUGAUGAUUAUGAGCUACCUAGUGAUCAUGAGGCUGCU